UUUAUGUUCCUUCUUUCUUUUUCAAGAUUGCUUUAAUUAGCCAUGUUGUUUUGAUGUGAUUGUGUUAUUUUUCAAUGUUUUCUGGUCUCUAGACAAAAGUGGCCUCCAGACAGAUGCCAAGUUCAUUAACCAUUUUUAUUAUUUUUGUAAUAAGGAUGAUUCAUAUCCGGAAAGUUACAUUAGCACUAUUGGAGUUGACUUCAAAAUCCGCACAGUUGAGCAGGAUGGGAAAACCAUUAAACUCCAGAUUGAAAGUUUUAAGUGCGUUAUUAGUUUGUUCUGCCUAUGAAAGCUGUAAAUUUUAGUUUUAGCUUUGAUUUAGUGUUUGAUUGGGAAUCUGUGUAAAUAAGGAAUGCCAUAUAAACAUUUCUUUUCUGUAUGAUGGAAAUUUUGCAUAAAAGUAUGCUUAAAUUCUGUAAAAAUUUGAAGGAUAGCUUUAUUCGAAAUGAAAUCUAGAGAAUUCACACUCUUGAAAUUAAAUGUUAAUUGUAUGACAAUUUUGUUUUUAGUCAAAAUUUAUUGUGAUGUUUUCUUCAACAUGGUGUCCCCUGUUUUCCUAUAAACUAUUUUCUUGCUAACAACUCUCAUCUUUCUUGUUUUUUUGUUCAUUGAUAGUAGAUCUCUAUUACUCAUACAGGGACUCUGGAUUUUAAUGAGACUUUGUUUUUAUUUUGUGCAGGCAGUUGCAGAUGAAAUUGGGAUUCCUUCCUUGGAAAUAAGUGCGAAAAAUGCCACCAAUGUGGAAUAGGCUUUCAAAAUUGUAUAAUAAAAUUAAUAAUUUAUAUAUUUUGUUGAAUGUUCAUGAUUCAAGUGAAUUGUUGGUUUGAUUGAUUAUUGUAAAUUAUAGAUUGUAUUGAAUAGAUUGGAUAAAUUAUUAUGAAUUACAGGUUUAUUUUGUUG